UAGGAAUUCGGGUCGGGUGCGGGAUCGGGUUUAGGCUUGGGUUUUCAAGUUUAGGUUUAGGUUUAGGUUAGGGAGUUGAGAUUGAAAUUUGGUGUAGGUUUAGGUUUAGGGAUUUGAGAAUAGGUUAAGGUUUAGGUUUAAGAAAUCGGGUUUGGGUUCGGGAUCAUGUUUAGGCUUGGGUUUUCAAGUUUAGUUUUAGGUUUAGGUUAGGGAGUUGAGAUUGAGAUUUGGUGUAGGUUUAGGUUUAGGGAUUUGAGAAUAGGUUAAGGUUUAGGUUUAGGAAAUCGGGUUUAGGUUUGGGAUUGGGUUUAGGCUUGGGUUUUCAAGUUUAGGUUUAGGUUUAGGUUAGGGAGUUGAGAUUAGGAUUUGGUGUAGGUUUAGGUUUAGGGAUUUGAGAAUUGGUUAAGGUUUAGGUUUAGGAAAUCGGGUUUGGGUUCGGGAUCGUGUUUAAGCUUGGGUUUUCAAAUUUAGUUUUAGGUUUAGGUUAGGGAGUUGAGAAUGGGAUUUGGUGUAGGUUUAGGUUUAGGGAUUUGAGAAUAGGUUAAGGUUUAGGUUUAGGAAAUCGGUUUCGGGUUCAGGGUCAGGUUUAGGCUUGGGUUUUCAAGUUUAGGUUUAGGUUUAGGUUAGGGAGUUGAGAUAAGGAUUUGGUAUAGGUUUAGGUUUAGGGAUUUGAGGAUUGGUUAAGGUUUAGGUUUAGGAAAUCGGGUUCGGGAUCGGGUUUAGGCUUGGGUUUUCAAGUUUACGUUUAGGUUUAGGUUAGGGAGUUGAGAUUGGGAUUUGGUGUAGGUUUAGGUUUAGGGAUUUGAGAAUACAUUUAGGUUUAGGUUUAGGUUUAGGUUUUAGCUUAUAGGUUUAGGUUAUAGGUUUAGGUUUUGGUUUUAGGUUUAGGUUAUAAGUUUAGGUUAUAGGUUAUAGGUUAUAGGUUAAGGUUUAGGUUAUAGGUUUUGGUUUAGGUUAAGGUUAUAGGUUUUGGUUUAGGUUAAGGUUUAGGUUUUGGGUGUAGGUUUUGGUUAUAGGUUUAGGUUAUAGGUUAAGGUUAUAGGUUUAGGUUAGGUUUAGGUUUAGGUUAUAGGUUAUAGAUUUGGGAAUUGAGAAUAGGUUAAGGUUUAGGUUUAGGAAAUCGGGUUCGGGUUCGGUAUCGGGUUUAGGCUUGGGUUUUCAAGUUUAGGUUUACGUUUAGGUUAGGGAGUUGAGAUUGGGAUUAGGUGUAGGUUUAGGUUUAGGGAUUUAAGAAUACAUUUAGGUUUUAGGUUUAGGUUUAGGUUUAGGUUUUAGCUUAUAGGUUUAGGUUAUAGGUUUAGGUAUUGGUUUUAGGUUUAGGUUUAGGUUUAGGUUAAGGUUAUAAGUUUAGGCUAUAGGUUAUAGGUUAUAGGUUAAGGUUAUAGGUUUUGGUUUAGGAUAAGGUUUAGAUUUAGGUUUAGGUUAAGAUUAUAGGUUUAGGUUAUAGGUUUAGGUUAGGUUUAGGUUUAGGUUAUAGGUUAUAGGUUAUAGCUUUGGGAAUUGAGAAUAGGUUAAGGUUUAGGUUUAGGAAAUCGGGUUCGGGUUCGGGAUCGGGUUUAGGUUUUGUUUCGGGAUCGGGUUUAGGUUCGGGUUCGAGGUCGGGUUUAGGUUUGGGUUUAGGUUAGGGAUUUGAGAAUAGGUUUAGGUUACAAGUAUAUGUUUAGGUUAAGUUAUAGGUUGAGGUUUAGGGAAUUGAGUUUAGGUUAUAGGUUAUAGGUUAAAGUUUAGGUUAUAGGUUCAAGUUAUAGGUUAUAAUUAUAAGUUUAGGGUGUAGUUUUGGUUAAGGGUGUGGUCCCUGCAAAUACAGAUAUAAACACGGCCACCAGGGCAAAUGACCAGGCCCCUCCAAUGCUGUCCAUAGAAAAUGGAAAGCUUCAUCAUGGUCAUAACAGCGGUUCCCACCUUCUAGGGACCCCUGCUCAUCCAGAUAGCUCCGACGCACAU